rnacentral:lncRNA from 1 species
GUAAAUGUCUCAAAUGACAUAAUCUAGAGCUUCCUUUCUUUCUUUUGGUCCCUAGGGUUUUUCCUUUUCUUUUACACUCUCUUGUUCAUCUUUCUCAUCUUUCUCACUCCCCAAAUCCAAGAUAUUAUCAUUUAGAACACACAAACCCCUCUCACCAUCCCCAAAUGCUAGCUCAUUUUGCUAGCAAGAGAUGAGAACAAAUCUAUGUCGCC